ACGAACGCUGGCGGCGUGCCUAAUACAUGCAAGUUGAGCGCUGAAGGUUGGUACUUGUACCAACUGGAUGAGCAGCGAACGGGUGAGUAACGCGUGGGGAAUCUGCCUUUGAGCGGGGGACAACAUUUGGAAACGAAUGCUAAUACCGCAUAAAAACUUUAAACACAAGUUUUAAGUUUGAAAGAUGCAAUUGCAUCACUCAAAGAUGAUCCCGCGUUGUAUUAGCUAGUUGGUGAGGUAAAGGCUCACCAAGGCGAUGAUACAUAGCCGACCUGAGAGGGUGAUCGGCCACAUUGGGACCGAGACACGGCCCAAACUCCUACGGGAGGCAGCAGUAGGGAAUCUUCGGCAAUGGACGAAAGUCUGACCGAGCAACGCCGCGUGAGUGAAGAAGGUUUUCGGAUCGUAAAACUCUGUUGGUAGAGAAGAACGUUGGUGAGAGUGGAAAGCUCAUCAAGUGACGGUAACUACCCAGAAAGGGACGGCUAACUACGUG
rnacentral:rRNA from 1 species